rnacentral:lncRNA from 1 species
GGCAGGCGGAGCUUGAGGAAACCGCAGAUAAGUUUUUUUCUCUUUGAAAGAUAGAGAUUAAUACAACUACUUAAAAAAUAUAGUCAAUAGGUUACUAAGAUAUUGCUUAGCGUUAAGUUUUUAACGUAAUUUUAAUAGCUUAAGAUUUUAAGAGAAAAUAUGAAGACUUAGAAGAGUAGCAUGAGGAAGGAAAAGAUAAAAGGUUUCUAAAACAUGACGGAGGUUGAGAUGAAGCUUCUUCAUGGAGUAAAAAAUGUAUUUAAAAGAAAAUUGAGAGAAAGGACUACAGAGCCCCGAAUUAAUACCAAUAGAAGGGCAAUGCUUUUAGAUUAAAAUGAAGGUGACUUAAACAGCUUAAAGUUUAGUUUAAAAGUUGUAGGUGAUUAAAAUAAUUUGAAGGCGAUCUUUUAAAAAGAGAUUAAACCGAAGGUGAUUAAAAGACCUUGAAAUCCAUGACGCAGGGAGAAUUGCGUCAUUUAAAGCCUAGUUAACGCAUUUACUAAACGCAGACGAAAAUGGAAAGAUUAAUUGGGAGUGGUAGGAUGAAACAAUUUGGAGAAGAUAGAAGUUUGAAGUGGAAAACUGGAAGACAGAAGUACGGGAAGGCGAAGAAAAGAAUAGAGAAGAUAGGGAAAUUAGAAGAUAAAAACAUACUUUUAGAAGAAAAAAGAUAAAUUUAAACCUGAAAAGUAGGAAGCAGAAGAAAAAAGACAAGCUAGGAAACAAAAAGCUAAGGGCAAAAUGUACAAACUUAGAAGAAAAUUGGAAGAUAGAAACAAGAUAGAAAAUGAAAAUAUUGUCAAGAGUUUCAGAUAGAAAAUGAAAAACAAGCUAAGACAAGUAUUGGAGAAGUAUAGAAGAUAGAAAAAUAUAAAGCCAAAAAUUGGAUAAAAUAGCACUGAAAAAAUGAGGAAAUUAUUGGUAACCAAUUUAUUUUAAAAGCCCAUCAAUUUAAUUUCUGGUGGUGCAGAAGUUAGAAGGUAAAGCUUGAGAAGAUGAGGGUGUUUACGUAGACCAGAACCAAUUUAGAAGAAUACUUGAAGCUAGAAGGGGAAGUUGGUUAAAAAUCACAUCAAAAAGCUACUAAAAGGACUGGUGUAAUUUAAAAAAAACUAAGGCAGAAGGCUUUUGGAAGAGUUAGAAGAAUUUGGAAGGCCUUAAAUAUAGUAGCUUAGUUUGAAAAAUGUGAAGGACUUUCGUAACGGAAGUAAUUCAAGAUCAAGAGUAAUUACCAACUUAAUGUUUUUGCAUUGGACUUUGAGUUAAGAUUAUUUUUUAAAUCCUGAGGACUAGCAUUAAUUGACAGCUGACCCAGGUGCUACACAGAAGUGGAUUCAGUGAAUCUAGGAAGACAGCAGCAGACAGGAUUCCAGGAACCAGUGUUUGAUGAAGCUAGGACUGAGGAGCAAGCGAGCAAGCAGCAGUUCGUGGUGAAGAUAGGAAAAGAGUCCAGGAGCCAGUGCGAUUUGGUGAAGGAAGCUAGGAAGAAGGAAGGAGCGCUAACGAUUUGGUGGUGAAGCUAGGAAAAAGGAUUCCAGGAAGGAGCGAGUGCAAUUUGGUGAUGAAGGUAGCAGGCGGCUUGGCUUGGCAACCACACGGAGGAGGCGAGCAGGCGUUGUGCGUAGAGGAUCCUAGACCAGCAUGCCAGUGUGCCAAGGCCACAGGGAAAGCGAGUGGUUGGUAAAAAUCCGUGAGGUCGGCAAUAUGUUGUUUUUCUGGAACUUACUUAUGGUAACCUUUUAUUUAUUUUCUAAUAUAAUGGGGGAGUUUCGUACUGAGGUGUAAAGGGAUUUAUAUGGGGACGUAGGCCGAUUUCCGGGUGUUGUAGGUUUCUCUUUUUCAGGCUUAUACUCAUGAAUCUUGUCUGAAGCUUUUGAGGGCAGACUGCCAAGUCCUGGAGAAAUAGUAGAUGGCAAGUUUGUGGGUUUUUUUUUUUUACACGAAUUUGAGGAAAACCAAAUGAAUUUGAUAGCCAAAUUGAGACAAUUUCAGCAAAUCUGUAAGCAGUUUGUAUGUUUAGUUGGGGUAAUGAAGUAUUUCAGUUUUGUGAAUAGAUGACCUGUUUUUACUUCCUCACCCUGAAUUCGUUUUGUAAAUGUAGAGUUUGGAUGUGUAACUGAGGCGGGGGGGAGUUUUCAGUAUUUUUUUUUGUGGGGGUGGGGGCAAAAUAUGUUUUCAGUUCUUUUUCCCUUAGGUCUGUCUAGAAUCCUAAAGGCAAAUGACUCAAGGUGUAACAGAAAACAAGAAAAUCCAAUAUCAGGAUAAUCAGACCACCACAGGUUUACAGUUUAUAGAAACUAGAGCAGUUCUCACGUUGAGGUCUGUGGAAGAGAUGUCCAUUGGAGAAAUGGCUGGUAGUUACUCUUUUUUCCCCCCACCCCCUUAAUCAGACUUUAAAAGUGCUUAACCCCUUAAACUUGUUAUUUUUUACUUGAAGCAUUUUGGGAUGGUCUUAACAGGGAAGAGAGAGGGUGGGGGAGAAAAUGUUUUUUUCUAAGAUUUUCCACAGAUGCUAUAGUACUAUUGACAAACUGGGUUAGAGAAGGAGUGUACCGCUGUGCUGUUGGCACGAACACCUUCAGGGACUGGAGCUGCUUUUAUCCUUGGAAGAGUAUUCCCAGUUGAAGCUGAAAAGUACAGCACAGUGCAGCUUUGGUUCAUAUUCAGUCAUCUCAGGAGAACUUCAGAAGAGCUUGAGUAGGCCAAAUGUUGAAGUUAAGUUUUCCAAUAAUGUGACUUCUUAAAAGUUUUAUUAAAGGGGAGGGGCAAAUAUUGGCAAUUAGUUGGCAGUGGCCUGUUACGGUUGGGAUUGGUGGGGUGGGUUUAGGUAAUUGUUUAGUUUAUGAUUGCAGAUAAACUCAUGCCAGAGAACUUAAAGUCUUAGAAUGGAAAAAGUAAAGAAAUAUCAACUUCCAAGUUGGCAAGUAACUCCCAAUGAUUUAGUUUUUUUCCCCCCAGUUUGAAUUGGGAAGCUGGGGGAAGUUAAAUAUGAGCCACUGGGUGUACCAGUGCAUUAAUUUGGGCAAGGAAAGUGUCAUAAUUUGAUACUGUAUCUGUUUUCCUUCAAAGUAUAGAGCUUUUGGGGAAGGAAAGUAUUGAACUGGGGGUUGGUCUGGCCUACUGGGCUGACAUUAACUACAAUUAUGGGAAAUGCAAAAGUUGUUUGGAUAUGGUAGUGUGUGGUUCUCUUUUGGAAUUUUUUUCAGGUGAUUUAAUAAUAAUUUAAAACUACUAUAGAAACUGCAGAGCAAAGGAAGUGGCUUAAUGAUCCUGAAGGGAUUUCUUCUGAUGGUAGCUUUUGUAUUAUCAAACUUUUUUCAGAUAACAUCUUCUGAGUCAUAACCAGCCUGGCAGUAUGAUGGCCUAGAUGCAGAGAAAACAGCUCCUUGACAGGUAUCUCUUCGUUAUCAGAAGAGUUGCUUCAUUUCAUCUGGGAGCAGAAAACAGCAGGCAGCUGUUAACAGAUAAGUUUAACUUGCAUCUGCAGUAUUGCAUGUUAGGGAUAAGUGCUUAUUUUUAAGAGCUGUGGAGUUCUUAAAUAUCAACCAUGGCACUUUCUCCUGACCCCUUCCCUAGGGGAUUUCAGGAUUGAGAAAUUUUUCCAUCGAGCCUUUUUAAAAUUGUAGGACUUGUUCCUGUGGGCUUCAGUGAUGGGAUAGUACACUUCACUCAGAGGCAUUUGCAUCUUUAAAUAAUUUCUUAAAAGCCUCUAAAGUGAUCAGUGCCUUGAUGCCAACUAAGGAAAUUUGUUUAGCAUUGAAUCUCUGAAGGCUCUAUGAAAGGAAUAGCAUGAUGUGCUGUUAGAAUCAGAUGUUACUGCUAAAAUUUACAUGUUGUGAUGUAAAUUGUGUAGAAAACCAUUAAAUCAUUCAAAAUAAUAAACUAUUUUUAUUAGAGAAUGUAUACUUUUAGAAAGCUGUCUCCUUAUUUAAAUAAAAUAGUGUUUGUCUGUAGUUCAGUGUUGGGGCAAUCUUGGGGGGGAUUCUUCUCUAAUCUUUCAGAAACUUUGUCUGCGAACACUCUUUAAUGGACCAGAUCAGGAUUUGAGCGGAAGAACGAAUGUAACUUUAAGAGGCAUUUCAUCCUUCAUGAAGCCAUUCAGGAUUUUGAAUUGCAUAUGAGUGCUUGGCUCUUCCUUCUGUUCUAACUUCACAGAGAAUGCAGUUGUCUUGACUUCAGAUGCAACCUUAAAAUCAGUGACAAGAAACAUUCCAAACAAGCAACAGUCUUCAAGAAAUUAAACUGGCAAGUGGAAAUGUUUAAACAGUUCAGUGAUCUUUAGUGCAUUGUUUAUGUGUGGGUUUCUCUCUCCCCUCCCUUGGUCUUAAUUCUUACAUGCAGGAACACUCAGCAGACACACGUAUGCGAAGGGCCAGAGAAGCCAGACCCAGUAAGAAAAAA